CAGGGUGGUCGCGACCUCCUGACCUCCUGAUCCACCUGCCUCGGCCUCCCAAAGUGCUGGGAUUACAAGCGUGAGCCACCACGCCCGGCCUAGUCUGGAUAUCUUAAAAAGGCGAGGUUGGCUGAGGAGCCAGCAGUGCAGAAAUGGAUGUAGUCUUUCCUUUUCCUGGUUAUCUGGAGGCUGCUGAGAGACCAAGGAAGAAUCCAUUUCAUCAUCAUCUGAAGACUUUUCUCUAUAAUCUUCAUUUUCUACAAGUUCCCUCUCAGGAUCUUCACCUUCAGGAUUACUGCCAUUGACUGUUCAAACAAAGAGAGAAUUUAACAACUUCUGAGAGAUAUGACAUCAGGCAGGAAAAAACAAGUCAUGUUUCUUAAGCCAGAGCCACCUUUAAAGUCAAUCUGAGGAGUGGCGGAUACUGCCAUCGCACUCCUUUACCACAUUUAUUGAGGGUGGGAUACAUAACUGAUAAAUCUUUCCAUCUACCACAAUGCAAGCACACUUUAAAGAAAUAAAAAUGAGUGGGAAUUCACAGAAA